GGCGGGGGCGGGAGGAGGAGGAGGCGGGGCUUGCGGCCGGGCCCGCCCCCUCAGCUCCGGGCCGGCAGUUUAGCUCGGCGUGGCCGGGAUCCGAGUUUAUCUCUCGGCGGUGGGAGCGGGGCGGACGGGGAGCCUUCAGGAUGGCGGCAGAAGUGGAACUCAGCCAUGUCCAAUCAGCAUCUGAAAUGGCAGAGGGAGAGAAUGACACACACAUUUUUCAACCCACGAUGUUCCUGGAGCCUCAAGAGACGAGCAUUGAUAUGAAGGCACUUCUGGUCAAGAAAGUGACGAAAACUUGCAGCUGCACCCCAACUGAAGUUAAAGACCUGAUUUUCAGUUUUCUCCCUUUCUUGCAGUGGAUCCCCAAAUAUAAACUGAGAGAGUACCUCCUGGGAGAUAUAAUGUCUGGUGUGAUAGUGGGCAUCCUGCUGGUCCCACAGUCCAUUGCCUAUUCCCUGUUGGCUGGCCAAGAACCUAUAUAUGGUCUUUACACAUCCUUUUUUGCCAGCAUUAUUUAUUUCCUAUUUGGUACCUCUCGUCAUAUAUCAGUUGGCAUUUUUGGUGUGCUUUGCCUUAUGGUGGGACAGGUGGUGGAUCGUGAGGUACAGAGAGCUGGGUAUGACAUAGAGCCCAGUGUUCAUAGUGGCCUUCAGAGAGAGAUGGUUAUUUAUGUAAAUACCACCACUUUGGCUGUGAACCAGACAUCACAACCGCUGUUAUGUGAUAGAAGUUGCUAUGCAAUUACUGUGGGAGCCACGGUGACCUUCAUAGCUGGAGUUUAUCAGGUUGCUAUGGGCUUCUUUCAGGUGGGCUUUGUCUCAGUGUACCUCUCUGAUUCCUUACUCGGCGGAUUUGUGACAGGUGCCUCCUUUACUAUCCUAACGUCCCAAGUGAAGUAUCUUCUGGGCCUGGACAUUCCACGCAGCAAUGGCACUGGCUCCCUCAUAACCACUUGGAUAAACAUCUUCAAAAACAUCCACAAGACCAACAUCUGCGACCUCAUCACCAGCUUCUUGUGUCUCCUUGUCCUUAUCCCAACCAAAGAGCUGAAUGAUCACUUUAAAUCCAGGCUCAAGGCCCCCAUACCCAUUGAACUGGUCGUGGUUGUGGCAGCUACGCUGGCAUCUCAUUUUGGGAAGCUGAAGGAGAAUUAUGGCUCCAGUGUUGCUGGACACAUUCCAACUGGGUUCCUGCCACCCCAGCCACCCAAAUGGGAUCUGAUUUCUAGUGUGGCGAUGGAUGCUGUUGCCAUAGCCAUUAUUGGCUUCGCUAUCACUGUGUCCCUCUCAGAGAUGUUCGCCAAGAAGCAUGGUUACACAGUUAAGGCCAAUCAGGAAAUGUACGCCAUUGGCUUUUGCAACAUUAUUCCCUCUUUCUUCCACUGCUUCACAACUAGUGCAGCUCUUGCCAAGACUCUUGUCAAAGAGUCAACGGGCUGCAGAACUCAGAUCUCCGGGGUGGUGACUGCAUUGGUCCUCCUAUUAGUUCUGCUUUUGAUUGCACCUCUCUUCUACUCCCUUCAGAAAUGUGUCCUAGGGGUCAUAACCAUUGUGAACCUCAGAGGAGCCCUGCAGAAGUUCAGGGAUCUGCCCAAAAUGUGGCAUCUGAGCAAGGUGGACACAGUGAUCUGGUUAGUCACGAUGGUCGCUUCGGCACUGCUAAGUACUGAAAUUGGCCUGCUGAUUGGUGUCUGCUUCUCAAUGCUGUGCGUCAUUGUGAGGACUCAGAGACCAGAGGCACCAUUGCUUGGCUGGGUGGUAGAGACUGAAAUGUAUGAAUCCCUGUCUGCCUACAAAAACCUGAAGACUAAGCCAGGCAUUGUGGUUUUCCGUUUCGAAGCACCUCUCUACUAUAUCAACAAAGAAUGCUUUAAAUCCAUGCUGUAUAAGCGGACUGGAGUCAACCCAGCCGGGGUGAAUGCAGCCAAGAAAAGGGCAGCAAAGCGAAUGCUUAAAGAGAAAAUGGUGAAUUCUGGUGGCAGCCAGGUGGAUGUUGCAGUGCAGCUUGUCACUGAGCCAUUGGUGUUUCACACCCUAGUGAUUGACUGCUGCGCAAUACAGUUCUUGGACACAGCCGGGAUCCACACGCUUAAAGAGAUCUGCAAAGAUUAUGGGGAGAUAGGCAUCCAAGUGCUGCUGGCCCAGUGCAAUGCCUCUGUGAGGAGUUCCCUGCACCGGGGAGAAUACUUUAAAAAAGAGGAACAGAACCUCCUCUUCCACAGUGUGCACCAGGCUGUGGACUUUGCAUUGGCUGCACAUAAGCAAAAUGGGUGCUGGAAAGGUAACAACAAUGGGUAGGAUCAGGGGGGAAAAUUGUGGAUGUAUAUGUAAUGUGCGUGCUCUCACACAGGUAAAAAGCACCAAAGUACAGGGGUAUUGUUCAAAAACUGUAGUGUAGAGCACAUAGUGUGCUUUAAUCUUGCCCAACUGGAUAGGGUGAUUAGGUAAGUAGUGCUGAAUAUAGGCAUCCUCAAUGUGAUCAUGAUUAACUUGGUAAACCAAUGUUUUUCAUGAUCCUCCUGUGUAUUCCUUGUUCGGCUCUCCAUAUCCUAAUAAUAACCCAACAUUUAGAUCUGCACCCCUGAUGCCCUUAUUACUGCCACCAUCUUUCUGGAUUGAACUUCCUUUGACAGCUGUCAGUACUUCCCCUUAGUGAAUAGUUUGAGGCAACUACGCUUUUCCUCCCCAGUUCCCGGACUGGGCAUGCUGCCUUCAUAUCACUCAGUCCUUGUGCUGACCAAGGAAUGAGUGAGCGGGAACAGAUACCCAGCUCUGUUGGGUUGUUCUCUGACAUGACAGUGGAGAGAGUUUUCUGCUGGAUGAGGACCUGGGCCUGACUUUCACAAAGAGUUACAAUUUCACUCUGAGAAAAAGGAAGUGACAAGUAGAUUCCUGGAUGUAUGUGACUUGUGCAUGUUACAUAUGCAGCAGGUCAGGUACUGAAAGAACUUCAGGAAUCGGAGUGAUUUGAAAUCAAGGCAACAAGUCUCAGAGCCCAGGUGUGCAGAUUUGGGCUCACACUAUGGUGCUAAAACCAGCAGUAUAGAUGUUCGAGUUUGGGCUGGAGCUCAGGCUCUGGAACCCCCUUGCCUCGGAUUUCAGAGCCCAAGCUCCAGCCUGAGCUGGAACGUCUACAUAGCUAUUUUUAGUGUUUUAGCACAAGCCCAAGUCUAUAGACUCAGGCUCUGAGACUUGCUGCCUUGAUUUGUUUGAGUUCAGGCUGAGUGCAUGACCCUGAGGGUGUGAGUUUUCAUCCCUAAUGGGAAAGCAUUACAAUUUAUCUCACUGUCACAUUCUAUUGCUGUUAUCAGAGGGAUCUGCAGAGCAUGUACUCUGUAGGUUCAGGAGUACUUGUGGCACCUUAGAGACUAACCAAUUUAUUUGAGCACAAGCUUUCGUGAGCUACAGCUCACUUCAUCGGAUGCAGUGGUCCGAUGAAGUGAGCUGUAGCUCACGAAAGCUUAUGCUCAAAUAAAUUGGUUAGUCUCUAAGGUGCCACAAGUUCUCCUUUUCUUUCUGUAGGUUCAUACGCCUUUGAUUACACCUCUGAUUGCACAGAGUUUAAGCGUUUUCAGAAAUACAACUUGAUGCCUUUCUAGCUUGCAUGGGUUGGGUAUAUAUUAUACAGGCAGUUCAGAAUGAAAUGCUUUUAAUAAGUAACUCCUCAUAACCACUUCUAAUCAAAGAUGCCUUGCCACCUACUCUCUGACCUUGCCACCUAUUAUUCUUACCUAGUAGAUAAGGAUUGGAGCAAUGGUUUUCUUAUUUACACACAUGGUUGUAUAUUUGUUGGGAAAAUUUGUCUUUUUAUGUUGAGUUCCUUUGGACAAUCUUGACAGAUUUUUAUUUAAUGAUUUUUAGAGUACAGUACCAGGAAUGGAUUAUAGAUUGGAAGCUGUAAGGCAGGCUAAGUGUAGCCAGACUCAUGCUUGUAUUUAAUUAUUUGCUUAUAUUCAGUUAUUUGCCUAGCACUUAAGAGCAAUAGCAUGCUAUACUACAGAAUCAUAGGAAUUAGACCUAAUCUAUUAUUUUCAGUAAAGGACUGCAGUCAAUAUUGUGUGUCAUGCAGAUUGAAUCAUAUACGUUAGAAAUUGAAAAGGUGGGUGAGGUAAUAUCUUUUAUUGACCCAACUUCUAUUGGUGAGAGACAAGCCACCCCAGCUUUUCUUUACCUUGUCUCUCUAAUAGCCUGAGACCAAAAUAGCUACCACAAUAUUGGAAGCAGAAACGAAGAAGGCCUUUUAAAUUAUCCAUCCAAUCCCUAAUUUUGCAACUUUAAUGAAAACUUCAUGUACUGUUCAGUAGAAAUGAGUAACUUGUCCUUCACACAUGCAAAGUAACUGUGUUUAUGUAACAGGGAAGGGUUAAUACAAAAGAAAUGGAAACCAGUUAACAGAUCUUCAGCUGAGUUCUGUUUACACGCAGGAUCGCCAACUCCAGACAUUCAAAAAUCGAGAGUCAUGCCUUUAAAAAAAAAAAAAAUCAUGACAUUGGCUUAAAAAUUAGGAGGUUAAAUAAAAAUACAUUUUGUCUUCUGGUUUCUGAGCUGCUAGUUUAUACUUGGACCAUAUUUUCAAACUUUUCUCUGCAACCAUGAGGGGUUGAAACUUCUUUUUUUUAACAUGAAAGUGAGACGAUCGUGUAAUGACUUGACUCUAAGAGCAGGAGCUUUAAGAAAACACCAAAUAUCACAAGACUUGUGAUAGACUCACAAAACUUGGCAAUGCUGGAACUCAGAAUCCUCAAAUCUUCUGCAGUAGCAUACAGGCAUUUAGACAAGGUGUGAGCGGAUGAGGAUUUUUCAGGUUCCUGAGUUAAGAGCUUUAGAACUGUUUAAAGUUUUUUUUUAAAAAAAAAUAUUUUUUCACAGAAAUGUACUUGAUUGACCAGAACAUAGAAUGCUAUAGGUAAGUUCAGGAAUACAUGAAACAUUAGAUUAUAAUUAUUUUAUAAUGCUAAGAGUACAAAAAUGCAUUCCAAAAUAAACUACACUAAGCAAGUUCCUUUUUUCAGAGGAUUUAAGUAGAAUACAAUUUGUGAUCUUCCCACAAAGUUUACAAUCCUGCACAACUUUGAGAGAGGGAAAUACAACCAAAAUUCAUCUGUUCUAAAGGCUUGAGCCUGUGGCUGUUUAGAUAAGAAAUUGCAAUUGACUAGAUCCUGCUGUCCCACCGUAGUUUCCAUGGCCACGCUCUCCUCAAGUCAGUUUUUCAUAAAGCUCCAGGAAAAACUUCCUUGGCAGUAUAAAGCAUCAGUUUUGCAACAAGAAACAGUAGGUCUUGUCUGAACAUCAGUAGGAAAAUGUUAAGCCUCCAGAGUGCUUAGUACCUAAGCGUGCUUCUAUAACUCACAACAUUUAGGCUAAUGUCAAGAGACAACAAUUUUAUCGUAUGCACAAUGACACUUGAAGACUUGAGACUGACAGGACUAUGUCUAAGUGUAAAAGCCUGUACAUUCCAGCAGGGGGCUCUGCAUGUUCACAUAUUGUAGGAAGAAAAAACCAGCAUAUAUUGAGAAAUGUAGAGGUUAAGCACUAGAGGAAGAACUAAGCAUGAGAGUAAAUGAAAUGAAUGAGCUGAGUAUCAGCCAACGCAGUGUCUUGGCUGAAUUGCUUUCAUUAUGAUUGUUCACGGGACCAUAAAGUGCGACUGGAACAUUGAUUUUAUUCCUCCCCCUCCCCCCAUUAAACUGUUAAACGUUAAACUGUUUUAGUUUUAAAUACUGAUUAGCAACAUAUUUCAGGAGAACAGACUGAUAUUGGAGAAACAUUGUCCUUUGCUAUACUUUCACUUCCUAGUAAGUGUGGGCUUCCCACAAAAUUGCAGAACACUUGUUCAAAGCUGUUCCAUAUUCACUUUCAUAACAGAACCAUAAAAACCCUCAGGAAAUACAGUUUAGAGCUGUUAAUGCAGCGUGAUUAAGACACAGAACUAAUUUAUGUUCAGCUAAAAUGCAUAUUAUUUGGACACAAUAAGUGCUAUUCUUCUACAUGGACAACAAUGGGUUUUUUCCUCUUGGUAUACCCAAAUACCAUUAGAGACAAAACAAAAAACAACAGCUAAGCAGAAAAAUACCCUUCUGAACAAUUCUGUGUAAUACAAAAGUGUCCUGAGUGCCAUAGCUUAUGUGCAGGUUGUAUAUUAAUACACACAGCCCCACUCAGAGGUGUUCAUAGAUAAAUGUCAAAAAAGGUAGAGAACUAGAACACUACAAAUAAUACCUUUAAAUGUACAUGGGCACUAAAUAAAGAUUAGAGUUUACCAUUUCACAUGUUAUGUGAAACACAAUUACCAGGGUAUUUACUGUACUUGUUGCACUACUGAUGAGGAAGAAGGUCUAAUGCACUAAAGUCCAGUUAUAUAUAUAUGUGUGUGUGUGUGUGUGUAUAUGUUGGACUUUUAGUACUUUAGUGAUACAUAAAAGAAAAGAGGAAAUCAUUUGAGUUAGCAUAUUGGAAUGCAUACUCCACUCCAGAUUGUAGCAAUAAUUGUAAAUAAUACCUCCAGAACUCUGGGUCAGAUCCUCAUUUGGUGUGAAUUGGCCUAUAUUCAUUUGAACAGAGCAAGGCUGAGCUACACCCGCUGAGAAUUUAGUACUCUGAUACCAGAAAUCCUUAAUACAGCAAUCAUCAAUAUGAAUGAUGGAUUAUGAGAUCAUUAGCACAUUAAUUAAUUUUAAUGAUAUGGCAUUAUGGAAAUUAAUAUUCACAUAGUCUCAGUUAUAUACCUGCCAAGAGACUUAAUCUCUGCUUUUACUUAGAGCUGCUAUUUAUAGCAGUUUCAAUUACUCUUAAUGUAGGUAUUGCACUAAUAAAUGCUUUAGUUGUUUAAAAUGUUUUGAAACUCAAACAGUCUACUUAUUAAUAAAAUCUACUCAUUAAUAACAAAGACAAAUGUACUGCAGUGAGUUACAUGGCACUAAUUUUAAUCCUGGAUUUAUGGCCACAUCGUUAACCCUGGUCUUGUGCUUUGUAAUGACCCCCAGUGGAAUAAUUUCCCUGUAAAUCACUGCAGCUCCGUCCAUUUUUUUUUCUAAUUCAUUGCAAGAUGUGGGCCGUAAGCCAUUCUGGCAUUUGUUUCCCAUCUUUUAUUGUAAAAAGACAUAGCAUAUGACUGACUGUGAAUAGGAGACCCAUUGUCUUUGGAGAUAUGGCUUUUACCUUGUUUGCCAGAAGCUGGCACUUGAUAAUGACCUGUUCUGUUCAUUCCCUCUGGGGCACCUGGCAUUUGCCACUGUUGGUAGACAGGAUACUGGGCUAGAUGGACCUUUGGUCUGACCCAUUAUGGCCAUUCUUACAUUCUUAUUUUCAAUGCUAAAUCUUUUGAUACUGUGAUCCAAAGCAGCCAGAUGAAGAGUUUAAAAGAAGAAAUGAAUGACACCUGAAGAAAAGGGGGAGGAAAUUAUUGGGUGUUUGGGAGUUCAAAGCUCUAAACAUACCAUUAUUCAUAAUUUCUCCCUAUCUUUAGAUCAGAGGGAACGCUUUGUACCCUCACACGGCAGCAUAAGGAUUUGAGAAAUUUUGUAGACUAUCACAAAUAAUAUGUUACCCAGGAAAAUCAGAUCAUAAGUGUCUUUAUUAUGGGGGCUAUUAUGAAAUUGGCUUCUCCAUGUGUGCAUAGCGCUGUGCCUUAUUUCACAGUCAGUGUAGGAACAAUGCAGGGUCCCGAGUAGUUGCUGUGGGUCACUGUGUCUCAUUACAUACGUGCUAUGUACAGUAGGGUUUGUUUGUUUUCAGGCUUAUUUAUUUGUGUAUAAUUCUGUAUCCUCAACUCUACCAGCCUAGACUGCUGGGCUUUCAUUUCUCCUGCACUCUCUGUCAGGUUUCAGCAACUAAUGGAAAGUUAUACUCCAAGCCUUCCAAAGCGUCCAGUGGUGCCUCCAUAUCUACUUGUUGCUGCUGUCUGAGUUACUAACAAACCGUUUAAAACUCAUCAUAUGACGCUGGUGAGUCUAACAUGCUCAAUCAAGACAUCACAGGUGGCAAGGUACCUCUAAAAGGGUUUGGAACCCAAGGACUAUGAUUCAGUAAAAAUCCUUUUGCCUUUCACUUGUGCUGAACUCCACUGUGAAUUCUGGUUGCCUUGGAUCCUAGAUCUCCAUUGUUUUUAGUGCUAGAAAAAGACCAUAGAAAUUUAAAGCAAGAAAAGAUCCCUUAGGUCAGGGGUAGUCAAUUAUUUUUUGUCAAGGUAUAGUCGAGGUCCAGACUCCAA